rnacentral:rRNA from 1 species
AGAGAGCUUGCUCUCGGGUGACGAGCGGCGGACGGGUGAGUAAUGUCUGGGAAACUGCCUGAUGGAGGGGGAUAACUACUGGAAACGGUAGCUAAUACCGCAUAANGUCGCAAGACCAAAGUGGGGGACCUUCGGGCCUCAUGCCAUCAGAUGUGCCCAGAUGGGAUUAGCUAGUAGGUGGGGUAACGGCUCACCUAGGCGACGAUCCCUAGCUGGUCUGAGAGGAUGACCAGCCACACUGGAACUGAGACACGGUCCAGACUCCUACGGGAGGCAGCAGUGGGGAAUAUUGCACAAUGGGCGCAAGCCUGAUGCAGCCAUGCCGCGUGUGUGAAGAAGGCCUUCGGGUUGUAAAGCACUUUCAGCGGGGAGGAAGGCGUUAAGGUUAAUAACCUUGGCGAUUGACGUUACCCGCAGAAGAAGCACCGGCUAACUCCGUGCCAGCAGCCGCGGUAAUACGGAGGGUGCAAGCGUUAAUCGGAAUUACUGGGCGUAAAGCGCACGCAGGCGGUCUGUCAAGUCGGAUGUGAAAUCCCCGGGCUCAACCUGGGAACUGCAUUCGAAACUGGCAGGCUAGAGUCUUGUAGAGGGGGGUAGAAUUCCAGGUGUAGCGGUGAAAUGCGUAGAGAUCUGGAGGAAUACCGGUGGCGAAGGCGGCCCCCUGGACAAAGACUGACGCUCAGGUGCGAAAGCGUGGGGAGCAAACAGGAUUAGAUACCCUGGUAGUCCACGCCGUAAACGAUGUCGAUUUGGAGGUUGUGCCCUUGAGGCGUGGCUUCCGGAGCUAACGCGUUAAAUCGACCGCCUGGGGAGUACGGCCGCAAGGUUAAAACUCAAAUGAAUUGACGGGGGCCCGCACAAGCGGUGGAGCAUGUGGUUUAAUUCGAUGCAACGCGAAGAACCUUACCUGGUCUUGACAUCCACAGAACUUUCCAGAGAUGGAUUGGUGCCUUCGGGAACUGUGAGACAGGUGCUGCAUGGCUGUCGUCAGCUCGUGUUGUGAAAUGUUGGGUUAAGUCCCGCAACGAGCGCAACCCUUAUCCUUUGUUGCCAGCGGUUAGGCCGGGAACUCAAAGGAGACUGCCAGUGAUAAACUGGAGGAAGGUGGGGAUGACGUCAAGUCAUCAUGGCCCUUACGACCAGGGCUACACACGUGCUACAAUGGCAUAUACAAAGAGAAGCGACCUCGCGAGAGCAAGCGGACCUCAUAAAGUAUGUCGUAGUCCGGAUUGGAGUCUGCAACUCGACUCCAUGAAGUCGGAAUCGCUAGUAAUCGUAGAUCAGAAUGCUACGGUGAAUACGUUCCCGGGCCUUGUACACACCGCCCGUCACACCAUGGGAGUGGGUUGCAAAAGAAGUAGGUAG